GUGAGAUGUUGGGUUAAGUCCCGCAACGAGCGCAACCCUUGUCUUUAGUUGCCAUCAUUAAGUUGGGCACUCUAGAGAGACUGCCAGGGAUAACCUGGAGGAAGGUGGGGAUGACGUCAAAUCAUCAUGCCCCUUAUGCUUAGGGCUACACACGUGCUACAAUGGGUAGUACAGAGGGUUGCCAAGCCGUAAGGUGGAGCUAAUCCCUUAAAGCUACUCUCAGUUCGGAUUGUAGGCUGAAACUCGCCUACAUGAAGCUGGAGUUACUAGUAAUCGCAGAUCAGAAUGCUGCGGUGAAUGCGUUCCCGGGUCUUGUACACACCGCCCGUCACACCACGGGAGUUGGAGACGCCCGAAGCCGAUUAUCUAACCUUUUGGAAGAAGUCGUCGAAGGUGGAAUCAAUAACUGGGGUGAAGUCGUAACAAGGUAGCCGUAUCGGAAGGUGCGGCUGGAUCACCUCCUUUCUAAGGA
rnacentral:rRNA from 1 species